AUUUCUAGAUUCUGGUGAUGGACAGCAGGGGGCGCCACCAUGCCUUUGAAUUGGCUUUUGAAGACCUUCAUUCACUGCAUUCAAACAAUAUUUAAAAAAUUUAGUAUAAGUUAGAAAGAGCACUUAUUUUGUUGAUAAUCAUUUUUUAACUACAUUAUAAGGAUUAGCUUUGACAAAUCUCACUGCUGUUGUUUUCUACACUGGUUGUCUAAUAGUAUUUAUUCACAUUUAGGAAAACACAUGAAAAGACUGUGUUAUAAAUCUAUGUUCAA